rnacentral:rRNA from 1 species
UUGACAUACUAAGAACUUUCCAGAGAUGGAUUGGUGCCUUCGGGAACCUAGAUACAGGUGCUGCAUGGCUGUCGUCAGCUCGUGUCGUGAGAUGUUGGGUUAAGUCCCGCAACGAGCGCAACCCUUUUCCUUAUUUGCCAGCGGGUCAUGCCGGGAACUUUAAGGAUACUGCCAGUGACAAACUGGAGGAAGGCGGGGACGACGUCAAGUCAUCAUGGCCCUUACGGCCAGGGCUACACACGUGCUACAAUGGUCGGUACAAAGGGUUGCUACCUCGCGAGAGGAUGCUAAUCUCAAAAAGCCGAUCGUAGUCCGGAUCGCAGUCUGCAACUCGACUGCGUGAAGUCGGAAUCGCUAGUAAUCGCGGAUCAGAAUGCCGCGGUGAAUACGUUCCCGGGCCUUGUACACACCGCCCGUCACACCAUGGGAGUUUGUUGCACCAGAAGUAGGUAGUCUAACCGCAAGGAGGACGCUUACCACGGUGUGGCCGAUGACUGGGGUGAAGUCGUAACAAGGUAGGCGUAGAUGA